rnacentral:rRNA from 1 species
AGUGAACGCUGGCGGUAGGCCUAACACAUGCAAGUCGAACGGCAGCACAGUAAGAGCUUGCUCUUACGGGUGGCGAGUGGCGGACGGGUGAGGAAUACAUCGGAAUCUACUUUUUCGUGGGGGAUAACGUAGGGAAACUUACGCUAAUACCGCAUACGACCUACGGGUGAAAGCAGGGGAUCUUCGGACCUUGCGCGAUUGAAUGAGCCGAUGUCGGAUUAGCUAGUUGGCGGGGUAAAGGCCCACCAAGGCGACGAUCCGUAGCUGGUCUGAGAGGAUGAUCAGCCACACGGGAACUGAGACACGGUCCAGACUCCUACGGGAGGCAGCAGUGGGGAAUAUUGGACAAUGGGGGCAAGCCUGAUCCAGCCAUACCGCGUGGGUGAAGAAGGCCUUCGGGUUGUAAAGCCCUUUUGUUGGGAAAGAAAAGCAGCAGGUUAAUACCCCGCGGGUCUGACGGUACCCAAAGAAUAAGCACCGGCUAACUUCGUG